rnacentral:misc_RNA from 1 species
AAUUCUCAACCAUGCCUCGAUUGAUUUCGAGACCCAUGGCUUGGAUUUUGGGGGCUGCCGGAGACCUUCUGGUCUCGGGCUCUCCUUAAAAGCAUUAGCAAAGGCGGGCGAGUCCCUGCAUGCACGGCCUUCGACGUGAUAAUGAUCGUCGUGGCUGGAGUGCGGAGGGCGUCGCACAUCGUCGGUGCUUCUAAAUCGUGACUUUCUCUUCGAAAGGAACUCUUUUGAA